CCUACGGGUGGCUGCAGUGGGGAAUAUUGGACAAUGGGGGCAACCCUGAUCCAGCCAUGCCGCGUGUGUGAAGAAGGCCCUCGGGUUGUAAAGCACUUUCAGUGAGGAAGAACGCCUGGUGGUUAAUACCCAUCAGGAAAGACAUCACUCACAGAAGAAGCACCGGCUAACUCCGUGCCAGCAGCCGCGGUAAUACGGAGGGUGCGAGCGUUAAUCGGAAUUACUGGGCGUAAAGCGCGCGUAGGUGGCUUGAUAAGCCGGUUGUGAAAGCCCCGGGCUCAACCUGGGAACGGCAUCCGGAACUGUCUAGCUAGAGUGCAGGAGAGGAAGGUAGAAUUCCCGGUGUAGCGGUGAAAUGCGUAGAGAUCGGGAGGAAUACCAGUGGCGAAGGCGGCCUUCUGGACUGACACUGACACUGAGGUGCGAAAGCGUGGGUAGCAAACAGGAUUAGAUACCCGGGUAGUC
rnacentral:rRNA from 1 species